UAGGUGGUAGGCCCAAUGUGUUACUGCCUAAAUCAUAUAUUGCCAUGCAUUCCUUGUAAAUCAUUAUUUAGAAUAACCAUAUACAUGUAUUACAAAAUAAGGUGUUCUAUGUUAUAACUAUAAAAAUCACAUGAGUGGAAAAGAGAAACGGGGCUCAGCUGUUCGAAUUUAAAGUUCAACAGUUCAAGGUUACACGUGUAUCAUCUGUAAUAACAUUACUUAAAACCCAGUAAAAUGACAGGAACCUUAUACAGAGUUAUUUUUGAUUUACCGUGUGCACCAUAAGCGGCCAAUGAAACAGCCGCAGCACCGGACAAACCGCCGAUUCUGAGGAAAAACCUUGAUCCAUGGAAAGCCAUAGCCUCGCUUGCUUUGGUUCUCACGGUCUCCGUAACUUCCCCGGCAGUUUGCUCAAAAUCUUUCCUCUGAUAGCCAAGAUUUGUUACUGCUUUGUCAAGAAAACUAAAAAUGAAGUUUUUCCGCGAAAAAACCUUUCGUUUUGAUUCUCCAUUUGAUUGGGCGAUUUGAUGCAUGUGACUGGUGACCAGUUUUGGUUAGCCACUUUACUUGUUCAGAUGUUUAGCUAUAACACAACAAACCAACAAUGAGUGCGACCUCGUCUGGUUCAGACAAGCGUGAUGAUGGAUCUCCUCCUGGAUUAAUGGGCUCUUCUACAAAAGAGGCUGGUGAGGUGACUGAGGGUAAUGUAUGUAAUGCAUGCAAUAAUCAGAGUCACUCAACUACACACUGCACUCAAUGUAAGACCAAUCCCAACCUCACUGGUGAGAGUGACAUGUCCACUCCUGCACAAGCUCAAAGUAAAGGUGAGACCAGUAAGAAUGAUGGGAAAUUGACAGAUGACAAUGAGAAGGGAGAGAAAAGUAAUAUAACACCAAGAGAACAAGACAAAAAUGUUCAUGAUGCAAUGCAAAGAGCCCAGAACGAUAACCCAUCCAGUAAUAAUUACCAAGGUGAAAAUUUUUGUGCUGAAAAAGGGAAGGUCUUGCUAGAUACAAAUGUAGCAGCUCAAUGUGGACAAUGUAAUGAGAAUAGAAACAUUGAAGCAAAUGACGUCUCUAGAGAAAGCUUUGAGAAAAAUGGAAAGGAUAUGGUUGCAGAAGCAGCAACAGAUGCUGAUCACAAAAUUGACACUGAAGAACAAACAAGUUCUGAAAACAACAAACAAAUGGAUCAGGGGGAUGAAAUGAAUUCAGCAUCACCAAAACAGACUUUAGACCAAAGAUAUGCAAAGAUUCUUAACCCAGGAAAUGGUUUAUCAUCAGUAAUAGGGGACAAAAUUCAUGUAAACAUUAAUAAAGGAACUGCUGACAACACAGAGAAGGUUAAAAAUGAUAGAACAUCUGAAUUGGAUGCUGGGAAUCUGCACAAGAGUGAUGGAAACUGUGAAAGGGCAACUACAGAAGAGGAAGGGCAAUAUGCAAUCGCAAAAACACAGCAACCACAAUGUAACAACCAAGUGACAGAAUAUGCCAGUGGACAGAUUGAAGAAGGAGCAACCUGGUCAGAACAUCCUCAAAUACCUUUUUCAUUCAGUCAGAGCCAAGCUGACUUAACACCAAUAGAAAAUCAGUUGGAACAGAUUAUUGAUAAAGUAUUAACUGAAGAUAAAGAAGAACUGAAGGAAAAUUUAAAGAAAGAAGUUAUGGUGUUCUUACUUACCAUAGUAAAGGAUGGAACUCUGUUGAGAUCUUUCCAUCCCAAUGUUUCCCACAACAUGCCUGCACACAAUUUUUAUAUUGAUUUUGCAGAGAAAGGUAUGGACGAAGAAAGAACACGCAGAAGCCUACCAAAUACCCCAAUGAGUAGAUCAGACACAGCACGAUCAAAGUCCCAAAGGUCAAGAUCUCCAUCCUUGAGCAAUUUAGAGUUGAGUCAAGGUCAUGAGAGAGACAAGUCUAAUCCACAUGUGCAACCACAUGGGAAAAAGACAAGCAGGGCCCCAGAUCCACCAAUUGAAGGAACACCUGUUUCAAAGUCAUGUCUACCAGCGAUAUCAGCAGGGAAAAAGACAAGCAGGGCCCCAGAUCCACCAAUUGAAGGAACACCUGUUUCAAAGUCAUGUCUACCAGCGAUAUCAGCAGCACCGAUGGACAUGGAUUGCAAGAAAAAUGCAGAGGAAGUCAAAACAGAAUCUCUUCACUCUUCAACAGCUGGCUCAUCAACAAGACCAUCAUCUGAAGGUGCUUUUAUUUUGGGCUGA
rnacentral:sRNA from 1 species